rnacentral:tRNA from 1 species
CCUGUAGCUCAGUGGAUAGAGCACCGGCCUCCGGAGCCGGGUGCGUAGGUUCGAUUCCUAUCAGG